rnacentral:rRNA from 1 species
UACGGAGGGGGCUAGCGUUGUUCGGAAUUACUGGGCGUAAAGCGCGCGUAGGCGGCUUUGUAAGUUAGAGGUGAAAGCCCGAAGCUCCACUUCGGAAUUGCCUUUAAGACUGCAUCGCUAGAAUCGUGGAGAGGUGAGUGGAAUUCCGAGUGUAGAGGUGAAAUUCGUAGAUAUUCGGAAGAACACCAGUGGCGAAGGCGACUCACUGGACACGUAUUGACGCUGAGGUGCGAAAGCGUGGGGAGCAAACAGG